rnacentral:rRNA from 1 species
GACAGAGGGUGCAAACGUUGCUCGGAAUCACUGGGCGUAAAGCGUGCGCAGGCGGUUUUGUAAGUCUGUCGUGAAAUCCCCGGGCUCAACCUGGGAAUUUGCGAUGGAGACUGCGAAGGCUAGAAUCUGGCAGAGGGGGGUAGAAUUCCACGUGUAGCAGUGAAAUGCGUAGAGAUGUGGAGGAACACCGAUGGCGAGGCAGCCCCUG